rnacentral:rRNA from 1 species
UACGGGGGGAGCAAGCGUUGUUCGGAUUUACUGGGCGUAAAGGGCGCGUAGGCGGCCACCGCAAGUCAGUUGUGAAAUCUCUGGGCUUAACCCAGAAAGGUCAACUGAUACUGCGGGGCUAGAGUGCAGAAGGGGCAACUGGAAUUCUCGGUGUAGCGGUGAAAUGCGUAGAUAUCGAGAGGAACACCUGCGGCGAAGGCGGGUUGCUGGGCUGACACUGACGCUGAAGCGCGAAAGCCAGGGGAGCAAACGGG